rnacentral:rRNA from 1 species
GGGCGAGCGUUAUCCGGAUUUACUGGGUGUAAAGGGAGCGUAGACGGCAUGGCAAGUCUGAAGUGAAAGCCCGCGGCUUAACCGCGGAACUGCUUUGGAAACUUUUUUGCUGGAGUACCGGAGAGGUAAGCGGAAUUCCUAGUGUAGCGGUGAAAUGCGUAGAUAUUAGGAGGAACACCAGUGGCGAAGGCGGCUUACUGGACGGUAACUGACGUUGAGGCUCGAAAGCGUGGGGAGCAAA